CAGGUGUUGACCAGGAGUCCUUGUCCAGGUCCAGAGGAGCUGCCAAUCACCACUUGUCCCAGCAGUACUGCAUCUUUGGGGAUCGCCAAAGGAUGGAAGUCAGCCUUCAGAGGCCAUUUCUUGCAGGUAUUAACGUUCCAGAAUAAACACUCACCACGAUGAGGGAUCCAUUCAGGAGAGGAGGACUUGCUGUAUGAGGAUGAAGACAAGCAUCUUUUUGUUUAAUAAAAGUACACACGUUCACAAAGAUAACAUGCCAAAGUCUGGAAGCCAGCAAUGAAAUCACCUUUGGAAAGCACAAGCUUUUUAGGCGAAAGAGAAUUGUCGGCUGUCCACCGGUGGUAAAUGGAGCAGCUGACAAAUGGUGUUGCACUCCUGCCCGUGCUGCUUCUCCAGGAAGAUACUGAGGCCUUUGGC